rnacentral:rRNA from 1 species
CACGUAGGGAGCAAGCGUUGUCCGGAUUUAUUGGGCGUAAAGAGCUCGUAGGCGGCUCAGUAAGUCGGGUGUGAAACCUCCAGGCUCAACCUGGAGACGCCAUCCGAUACUGCUGUGGCUAGAGUCCGGUAGGGGAGCGUGGAAUUCCUGGUGUAGCGGUGAAAUGCGCAGAUAUCAGGAAGAACACCCGUGGCGAAGGCGGCUCUCUGGGACGGUACUGACGCUGAGGCACGAAGGCCAGGGGAGCAAACGGG